UCAAUUAAUAUAUGAUCAUCUCUCUAUAAAUUAAGCCCCUGAUGCUUGUGAUAAAACCAGGCUAGGCUAGCACACAUCCUCUCUGCCCAGAUCAGAGAUGGAUAUAAAUUUCCAGCCGUGCAGAAUCUGAAAGAAGAGAUUCUAUGCUAUUUUUAUACAUGGGUGAGUACUUUCCGUGCUGUGCUUGUCAUGCGAGCAGCCCUUUCUUGGAUUGCCCUUUGUUUCGUUGUCUGUUCGACCUUGAAAUAUAUAUAAAAACCCUAGCUCGAAUUGUCUUGCAUAGUUAUAGGAUUAGAGAAUAUUCAGCUUCCAGGACCACUUUCUUUUUUUCUUUCGUGAGUAACCAGAUUUGUUUAUGUGUCGAUCAACUUAAUUGAUUAAUUACUAUAAUUGGUUUUGGGUUUUCUCAUACAUAAUCUUACCUGGAAAAUGUGCCCACCCUCCAUGAAUUUUAUGAGGCAAACAAAUUGACUAAUAAUAUGAUUUGCAUGAAUUACAUGUGUGCAUUUUAUGUGUUGUUUGGUAGAUGUACAGCUUUGCAUGUGAAUUUCAGGUACAGUGAGAAUUCCAAAACGCUAGUUGGGUACAUAUAUAUGUAGAUAUAUAGCUAGAGUGAUAGAAUAUCCAUUCAAUUUCACCCUCUAAUGUUAUCAACUUUAGUCUAAUUGAAAUUUUGGUUCAUGAACUAAAAGGUCAUGAGUAUUGGCCUUUGAACUUGUCACAAUAUAGAGCAAUGGUCCAUUUGAGUAACCUAUUAUAAAUUUCAUCCAAAAUAAAGAGUUUAAAAGGUAAAAUACUGGAUGGAUAUUAUAACAGAGUUACCCACAAAGACUUUUGCUACAAAUCGUAAUAAGUAAUUUAGAGAGAAAUACUCACGAGUUAAACCAUAUAUUUGUGUAUAAGCUAGUUUUAAUAGGAAUAUGUCUGUAUUUACUUCAUCUUAAACAAUAUAUAAUUGAAUUAAUGGGUUAUAUUGCCUUUCUUAUGACAUAUGGAGCGUAGCAUAUUUUUACACAACUGAAAUAUGGACUGCUAAUUAACGUUGAAGGCAAGGUUAAGAUUCUAGCACAUAUAGAUGGCUAGAGUGAUGCAUGCAAUUAGUUUUGGCCCUUUUCCAUGAUCGAGGGUCAAUGGCAAGGUGAAAAUAAGGUGAUGUUGGAAAAUAUGAACUCUAGGUCUCCUCCUCCAUACAGUUAAGUAAUUUACCAUACUACAGUUCAAAUAACUUGAUCGAUUCCCUCUCUACCUUAAAAUUUGAGAAGGUAACUAGAAAAUGGCUUAUUGUAUAUUAGCUAAUUAAGGGUAUGCAAAUGCAAGGUUGAUCUGACAAUGAAUAUGAGGUUUAUGCAAGGGACUGUUCGCUUGACAAGGUUUUGCAUGGAAUGUGACACCCGAAUCGAUCUCCAACCCUCUCUUCAAAUUGUCUCGAUCUGUCAGUUUUCUAAUUGUCCCCAUUACUGCCACACCCAUAACUUUCUUCACCGAACAUGGCGUACACCAGCCCAGGCAGCACCUGGUAUCCGGGUCUGAUCUCUCUUUCUCUCUCAAAUAACUGAAUGCUACUACUGAAUUUUAUAAACUGACUAUAUUGGAAUGCACAAUAACAGUUCCUAAUUUAGUCACAAGGACUUAUAAUUGAUCACAAAGUUGGAUCAAGUAUAAUCUUCUCAACCCUACUUUUAACUACAAUUGAGUAUACAGAUGAGCUUAUUGUUUAUCUUUAUUUCCCGUAUGGCUAAAUGUAUAAUAGCUGAUUUAAUUUGUUUUCAAUGACCCAAGCAAAGCCCAUGGAUGACACGAUACAAGCACUCUGGUCUUGGCUGGCAUAAACAGGCCAAUAUGGUAAGUAACUGGUGUGGAGCAAAAAAUAAUUCAGAAAAUUCUAGAGCUGACAUGUGGACUUUUAUUCACAAUCGACGAGAUGUUCUUUAUUAAAUUGACGAGGCCCACAUCCACUCCACGUGCAGUUCAAUCACGAACUAAAGAUAUAACUAAUAACCGACCUUUAAGCUGUCCUCAUUGAAGACAGGUCGGCCCUAGCUAUUCUACUAGGCAUCAUAUGUUCAUUGUCCCCGUGCCUCCCCAUUACAACCCCACCCCCCCCGCCCCCCGCGCCCCCACCCCCCCUCCCCAAAAAAGAAAACGCUGAGGCAUCAUAUGUUCAUUGUCCCCGUAUGUGGAGCUCUUUCUGCACACUCCCUCUUAGUUAUGGUCUUUAAUUCACUUACAAUCCAUAUAGGCGUCGUAUGUGGAGCUGCUCUAACUACUUGUUCUCAUCAUGUACGAGAGUUGUAAGUAUCAAUCACAGAUGAUGAUGCAAGUAUUGUCCUUAUUGAUAUGUACAAUAAUGAUGUGCAGGAAAAGGAAGUUUCCAUAGCUAGGUCAUCGCAAGGCCAAGCUAUAUGAUGACCUACUUCUGUUCUCUAGCUUGCUACAUAAUAUAAUCUGGACUGGAGUGUACGUAGGACCUCCAUUAGCUUGGAGCCUGGCAAGAUCUCUGAUGAGCACAUUAUAUAUAUUGCUUAUCCAGUUAAUUAAACAGCUCAUGAUCAAACUAACACAAGUAAAACCAUCUCCAGUUUUCUAUUGAUCGAGAUGUUUAAGGAGAAUGCACAUACAGUUUCCGUUAUAAAAAUGUUGGUUUGAUUUCUAGCAACAUAUAUAGUAGGAAUUAUGAUCUUCCAAGCCCUACGUAUGUAGGCUGAAGUUUUUCUUUGUUACGCUAUUUCUCGUUUUGAUUAUUUACAGAGAGAGAUCUACAAAAUUACUUAAGUAUCUGUACUUAUUUAUAGGGUUCUUUAGAUAUAAGCCCAUGCAAUACUUAUUUUCUUGACAAAAAUCUAUCCAGUUUUAAACAUCCAAAUAAAACCCAAAUUUGCAAUAAACUGCCAUGUAAACAAAUAAAUACCUAUUACUUUCAAAAUAUUUACAAUUGUGCCACAACACCCUAAUUAUGUUGAUGAAUUUAAUUUGGCACAUAAGUGCUUUAUUAUUACAAAAGUAUCUACUUUAUACUUGUCUUACCAUCAUCUGUUCCAUUUCUUAUAUUUGUUUGACAAUCAUUGUAGGUAUGGUAAAUUAUUUUGCAUGUAUACAUUAGGCACAUUUUGUUAUUAUUAUAUCUGUGUGAAAUAAAUUACCUAUAUUUUUAAGUAGAAUAUAGGUAAUUAAUUAACUUUGAAUCAAUUGGCUAAAAACAUCCUUUUAUUUUGUAGGUAAACUAUUUUGCAUGUAUUAUUACAUAUACUAGGCACAUUUUUUUAUUAUUAUGUGUUGUUUGCAAUCAAUCAAUAUUCAUUUAUUCUGUAGGUAAAUUAUUUUACAUGUAUUAUUACAUAUUUUAGGUGCGUUUUGAUAUUAUUAUUGGUAAUUUUGACUAAAAUAACAUUUGUAUGUUUGUGAAAAAUACUAAUUUACCUGUUACAAUUAUUUGAAAAGGGAAAAAAAAUGCUCAUUUUACAUAAAUGUGAAAACAACUAUAUAAGGAAUCAAAACUCUAAUAUCAUGUAAUUUUUGUUAUUAAUAUGCAUUGGAAAUCAUGACACUAAAAUUUUUCUUUUCCAAAUCUGCAUAAACGUUUUAAAACGUUUAAUUGAAUGAAAUAAUAUAAAAUAAAUGUAGAUAACAAGUAAUAGACCCAAAGUCAAUGAUAUUAGGGGUAAUUUAGACGUCCAAAAAUACCAAUUUUGCCAAAUCAUACUUAAUUAUGGAUAUUGCUUAGUUGGAGCCUGGUCAUUGAGUUUUUAUUAUAAAAUUUUACAAUUGUGGGUUUUAGUUAAUGAAAAUUGAAUUCCAAGGGAUAUACUGCAUAUUUUUAGUAUAGGUCAAAUUAAGCACAUGUAUAAUGCAGUAUUGUAAAAGUUGAGGUUCCACUAUAAAAUUAAAUGGUAAUAUAGGGAGAAGCCCAAUUACUUA